UCCGUCGCGGGUAGUUUAUUAUCCCUCUCAACUCCGUUCCCCUGCCUUCUGCCCGUAAAAUUUGAUGCCCUAACUAAUCAAGAUCCUGCCGUCCUCUGCCUUAAAUGUCCCCAAUGGCUUGUCCUCGGCAGCUGCUGUGGCGAUGAACUCCACAGAUCCACCACCCUCUGGCUAAAGAAAUUCCUCCUCACUUCUGUUCUAAAGGAACGCCCUUCUGUUGUGAAACCGUGCCCUCUGGGUAAAGAAUUACACAACUGUAAGCACUGGCUGUCUUUAAGGUCACCUCUCGUCCUCCGUCACUCCAAGGAAUGGUUGCUGGGAGGUGCUGCGACCCAGGGGUUUGCUGGGCCCUGCCGUGGGCCCUGCCAGAGCUGCCUGUCGAUUAGAUGCCCUCUUGGGUGGGUGCAGAAACAUCUGGAGAGAAGAAGAAGCCCUGCCCAGUUCAUUAGUGAGGGCCACGGACUUAUCAAUCACCCAUCUGUUGACACUUUCUGGAGGUGCAAGACGCCAACUUCUGCAAAGAAGGGAUCCGUAUGCUCCACGACCGCUGGACUGUGUGUGUAAAUGUAGGGAAAAUAAAUGUGCUAGGUUUUCUAAAAUUGACUCCUUCUACCUUAGGCCACAAACUUAUCAAUCACUCCUCGUAGACAGCAUGCCUUCUUCCUCGUUUCCACCCCUAGCCUCUGAUACUGUAGUAAAGCAUUCUCUGUAAACUGCCAUGUUUAUGCCACGGACCCUGACCAUUACCCAAGAGUUUGGGAACCCCUGCUCCAGAGACUGUUGUGCGUGAAAAUCCCAGGACAUCGGCGGUUUCUGAGAUUUUUCCCGCGGGGUUUA